GAUGAACGCUGGCGGCGUGCCUAAUACAUGCAAGUCGAGCGAACAGACGAGGAGCUUGCUCCUCUGACGUUAGCGGCGGACGGGUGAGUAACACGUGGAUAACCUACCUAUAAGACUGGGAUAACUUCGUGAAACCGGAGCUAAUACCGGAUAAUAUAUUGAACCGCAUGGUUCAAUAGUGAAAGACGGUUUUGCUGUCACUUAUAGAUGGAUCCGCGCCGGAUUAGCUAGUUGGUAAGGUAACGGCUUACCAAGGCGACGAUGCGUAGCCGACCUGAGAGGGUGAUCGGCCACACUGGAACUGAGACACGGUCCAGACUCCUACGGGAGGCAGCAGUAGGGAAUCUUCCGCAAUGGGCGAAAGCCUGACCGAGCAACGCCGCGUGAGUGAUGAAGGUCUUCGGAUCGUAAAACUCUGUUAUUAGGGAAGAACAAAUGUGUAAGUAACUAUGCACGUCUUGACGGUACCUAAUCAGAAAGCAACGGCUAACUACGUG
rnacentral:rRNA from 1 species